rnacentral:rRNA from 1 species
UGACAGUACUCCUACGGGAGGCAGCAUGGGGAAUAUUGCACAAUGGGCGCAAGCCUGAUGCAGCCAUGCCGCGUGUGUGAAGAAGGCCUUCGGGUUGUAAAGCACUUUCAGUCGUGAGGAAGGUAGUGUAGUUAAUAGCUGCAUUAUUUGACGUUAGCGACAGAAGAAGCACCGGCUAACUCCGUGCCAGCAGCCGCGGUAAUACGGAGGGUGCGAGCGUUAAUCGGAAUUACUGGGCGUAAAGCGCAUGCAGGUGGUUUGUUAAGUCAGAUGUGAAAGCCCCGGGGCUCAACCUCGGAAUAACAUUUGAAACUGGCAGACUAGAGUACUGUAGAGGGGGUAGAAUUUCAGGUGUAGCGGUGAAAUGCGUAGAGAUCUGAAGGAAUACCGGUGGCGAAGGCGGCCCCCUGGACAGAUACUGACACUCAGAUGCGAAAGCGUGGGGAGCAAACAGGAUUAGAUACCCUGGUAG